AUUGAACGCUGGCGGCAGGCUUAACACAUGCAAGUCGAGCGGGGAAAGGUAGCUUGCUACCUGACCUAGCGGCGGACGGGUGAGUAAUGCUUAGGAAUCUGCCUAUUAGUGGGGGACAACGUUCCGAAAGGAACGCUAAUACCGCAUACGUCCUACGGGGGAAAGCAGGGGAUCUUCGGACCUUGCGCUAAUAGAUGAGCUUAAGUCGGAUUAGCUAGGUGGUGGGGUAAAGGCCUACCAAGGCGACGAUCUGUAGCGGGUCUGAGAGGAUGAUCCGCCACACUGGGACUGAGACACGGCCCAGACUCCUACGGGAGGCAGCAGUGGGGAAUAUUGGACAAUGGGCGCAAGCCUGAUCCAGCCAUGCCGCGUGUGUGAAGAAGGCCUUUUGGUUGUAAAGCACUUUAAGCGAGGAGGAGGCUCCUUUAGUUAAUACCUAAAGUGAGUGGACGUUACUCGCAGAAUAAGCACCGGCUAACUCUGUGCCAGCAGCCGCGGUAAUAC
rnacentral:rRNA from 1 species